rnacentral:rRNA from 1 species
AGAGUUUGAUCCUGGCUCAGAUUGAACGCUGGCGGCAUGCCUUACACAUGCAAGUCGAACGGCAGCACGAGAGCUUGCUCUUGGUGGCGAGUGGCGAACGGGUGAGUAAUAUAUCGGAACGUACCCUAGAGUGGGGGAUAACGUAGCGAAAGUUACGCUAAUACCGCAUACGAUCUACGGAUGAAAGUGGGGGAUCGCAAGACCUCAUGCUCAUGGAGCGGCCGAUAUCUGAUUAGCUAGUUGGUGGGGUAAAAGCUCACCAAGGCGACGAUCAGUAGCUGGUCUGAGAGGACGACCAGCCACACUGGAACUGAGACACGGUCCAGACUCCUACGGGAGGCAGCAGUGGGGAAUUUUGGACAAUGGGCGCAAGCCUGAUCCAGCAAUGCCGCGUGAGUGAAGAAGGCCUUCGGGUUGUAAAGCUCUUUUGUCAGGGAAGAAACGGUGGACUCUAAUACAGAUCACUAAUGACGGUACCUGAAGAAUAAGCACCGGCUAACUACGUGCCAGCAGCCGCGGUAAUACGUAUGGUGCAAGCGUUAAUCGGAAUUACUGGGCGUAAAGCGUGCGCAGGCGGUUGUGCAAGACAGAUGUGAAAUCCCCGGGCUCAACCUGGGAAUUGCAUUUGUGACUGCACGGCUAGAGUGUGUCAGAGGGGGGUAGAAUUCCACGUGUAGCAGUGAAAUGCGUAGAGAUGUGGAGGAAUACCGAUGGCGAAGGCAGCCCCCUGGGAUAACACUGACGCUCAUGCACGAAAGCGUGGGGAGCAAACAGGAUUAGAUACCCUGGUAGUCCACGCCCUAAACGAUGUCUACUAGUUGUCGGGUCUUAAUUGACUUGGUAACGCAGCUAACGCGUGAAGUAGACCGCCUGGGGAGUACGGUCGCAAGAUUAAAACUCAAAGGAAUUGACGGGGACCCGCACAAGCGGUGGAUGAUGUGGAUUAAUUCGAUGCAACGCGAAAAACCUUACCUACCCUUGACAUGUCUGGAAUCCUUGAGAGAUCAGGGAGUGCUCGAAAGAGAAUCAGAACACAGGUGCUGCAUGGCUGUCGUCAGCUCGUGUCGUGAGAUGUUGGGUUAAGUCCCGCAACGAGCGCAACCCUUGUCAUUAGUUGCUACGAAAGGGCACUCUAAUGAGACUGCCGGUGACAAACCGGAGGAAGGUGGGGAUGACGUCAAGUCCUCAUGGCCCUUAUGGGUAGGGCUUCACACGUCAUACAAUGGUACAUACAGAGGGCCGCCAACCCGCGAGGGGGAGCUAAUCCCAGAAAGUGUAUCGUAGUCCGGAUUGUAGUCUGCAACUCGACUACAUGAAGUUGGAAUCGCUAGUAAUCGCGGAUCAGCAUGUCGCGGUGAAUACGUUCCCGGGUCUUGUACACACCGCCCGUCACACCAUGGGAGCGGGUUUCACCAGAAGUGGGUAGCCUAACCGCAAGGAGGGCGCUCACCACGGUGGGAUUCGUGACUGGGGUGAAGUCGUAACAAGGUA